GUCCCUUUGGGGACAUACGAUAAAAUUAGAACGCAACAGAGAGUAUGGCCCCUGCGUUAGGACGACAUGCGCAUAUCAAGAAAGCACUGCAAUUUUU
rnacentral:snRNA from 2 species